UACGUAUGGUGCAAGCGUUAUCCGGAUUUACUGGGUGUAAAGGGAGCGUAGGCGGCGCGUUAAGUCUGAUGUGAAAACCCGAGGCUCAACCACGGGAGUGCAUUGGAAACUGGCGGGCUGGAGUGCCGGAGAGGUAAGCGGAAUUCCUAGGGUAGCGGUGAAAUGCGUAGAUAUUAGGAGGAACACCAGUGGCGAAGGCGGCUUACUGGACGGCAACUGACGCUGAGGCUCGAAAGCGUGGGGAGCAAACAGG
rnacentral:rRNA from 1 species